rnacentral:tRNA from 1 species
UGGGCAGUAGCUCAGUGGUAGAGUUCCCGCUUCUUAUGCGGGAAGGCGUGGGUUGGAUUCCCGGCUGCUUAC